UACGUAGGGGGCGAGCGUUGUCCGGAAUCAUUGGGCGUAAAGAGCGCGUAGGCGGUCCGGUAAGUCUGCCGUGAAAGCCAGGGGCUCAACCCUUGGAUGCCGGUGGAUACUGUCGGGCUAGAGUCCGGAAGAGGCGAGUGGAAUUCCUGGUGUAGCGGUGAAAUGUGCAGAUAUCAGGAAGAACGCCUAUGGCGAAGGCAGCUCGCUGGGACGGAACUGACGCUGAGGCGCGAAAGCGUGGGGAGCGAACAGGAUUAGAAACCCGAGUAG
rnacentral:rRNA from 1 species